rnacentral:rRNA from 1 species
UACGGAGGGAGCUAGCGUUGUUCGGAAUUACUGGGCGUAAAGCGCACGUAGGCGGCUUUGUAAGUUAGAGGUGAAAGCCCGGGGCUCAACCCCGGAAUUGCCUUUAAGACUGCAUCGCUUGAAUCCAGGAGAGGUGAGUGGAAUUCCGAGUGUAGAGGUGAAAUUCGUAGAUAUUCGGAAGAACACCAGUGGCGAAGGCGGCUCACUGGACUGGUAUCGACGCUGAGGUGCGAAAGCGUGGGGAGCAAACAGG